UACGAAGGGGGCUAGCGUUGCUCGGAAUUACUGGGCGUAAAGCGCACGUAGGCGGAUUGUUAAGUCGGAGGUGAAAUCCUGGAGCUCAACUCCAGAACCGCCUUCGAUACUGGCGAUCUCGAGUUCGGGAGAGGUGAGUGGAACUGCGAGUGUAGAGGUGAAAUUCGUAGAUAUUGGGAAGAACACCGGUGGCGAAGGCGGCCAUCUGGACCGUUUCUGACGCUGAGGCGCGAAAGCGUGGGGAGCAAACAGG
rnacentral:rRNA from 1 species